GCUGCCGUGGCACGCAACAUUGCUUCACUACAGUUGAAUCUCCUGCCUCUCCUUGCAGGAGAAAAAUUUGUGAUCAGUCGCCUGGCAGAAAACAAUCCUGAAGUUUUAGAUGCUUAUUUGACUUUCACUGUGGAAACACCUCUUCUGUCUGAAAGACAAAAACAUGAAUUGAAUCCCCUGGUUAUAAGGAUUAAAUCAGCUACCUGCCUCCCAAACACACCUGUACCAGUAGAACUGCUGCAGAGGUUGUGUGUUCCCACCUACUGCAAAUACAAAUUUCACAACUUCCCACCUCAUCG
rnacentral:lncRNA from 1 species